GAGGAAAGAUGGAGGCGUGCCUAAUACAUGCAAGUCGAGCGAACAGACGAGGAGCUUGCUCCUCUGACGUUAGCGGCGGACGGGUGAGUAACACGUGGAUAACCUACCUAUAAGACUGGGAUAACUUCGGGAAACCGGAGCUAAUACCGGAUAAUAUAUUGAACCGCAUGGUUCAAUAGUGAAAGACGGUUUUGCUGUCACUUAUAGAUGGAUCCGCGCCGCAUUAGCUAGUUGGUAAGGUAACGGCUUACCAAGGCGACGAUGCGUAGCCGACCUGAGAGGGUGAUCGGCCACACUGGAACUGAGACACGGUCCAGACUCCUACGGGAGGCAGCAGUAGGGAAUCUUCCGCAAUGGGCGAAAGCCUGAAGGAGCAACGCCGCGUGAGUGAUGAAGGUCUUCGGAUCGUAAAACUCUGUUAUUAGGGAAGAACAAAUGUGUAAGUAACUAUGCACGUCUUGACGGUACCUAAUCAGAAAGCCACGGCUAACUACGUG
rnacentral:rRNA from 1 species